GCCUUCUUAGUAUAAGGGUAAUUACUCCUGUCUUGUAAACAGGAAAUGAAAGUUCGAUUCUUUCAGAAAGCUCA
rnacentral:tRNA from 1 species